CCUUUAUAAAACUGUUCUGUUUGAUUCAUCUUUUUUUUUAAACAGGGGACCUUUAUCGUCCCAGACCUGCGUUCUGUUCUUCUUGAUCCUGAACAAUGGGAGACACCCAAAAAAUUCAAUCCAAAUAAUUUUUUAGAUAAGGAUGGAAAAUUCAUUGAUCGAGAAGAGUUUCUGCCCUUUGGAUUAGGUAAACGUGCAUGCGUGGGAGAGCAGCUGGCAAGAAUUGAGAUCUUCAUCUUUCUGACCAGCCUGUUGAGGGCCUUCAACUUCCGGUUGCCUGAAGGAGUGAAAGAACUCAACGAAGCCCCUGUCGCAAAGAUGAUAAUGCACCCACACCCUUACAAACUGUGUGCAAUUCCCACAUAGGUUUAAUCUUUAAAAAACAGCACAAAAAGCAUAAAACUGUUUCCUAUAGGACUGUUCUCUUAAUUUGAACUUUUGCCUACAUUUAUUGUACUUUAAAACUUUUUCAGCCUAGUGCUGGAUUCACAAACAUACUUCACCAGUUCAACCAGUGGUGUGUGAA